UAUGUAUCAAACACACAUAUAUAUAUCAAAAUAUAUAGCUGAGUGUGUAAGGAAAUGGGCACUCUCAUACCAGGCUGGUGGGAGUAUAAGUUGGUGGAACCUCUUUGUAAGGCAGUCUGGCAACUACUGUCAAAACUACACAUAAGGGACUUCCCUGGUGGCGCAGUGGUUCUGAGUCCACAUGCCAAUGCAGGGGACACGGGUUUGAUCCCUCUUCUGGGAAGAUCCCACAUGCCGUGGAGCAGCUGAGCCCGUACGUCACAACUACCGAGCCUGCGCUCUAGAGCCCGUGAGCCACAACUACUGAGCCGGCGCGCCUAGAGCCCGUGCUCCACAACAACAGGCCACCGCGAUGAGAGGCCCGCACACCGCGGUGAGGAGUGGCCCCUGCUCGCUGAGGCUAGAGGGGAGCCCGUGCAGCAACGAGAAGACCAAAUGCAGCCAAAUCUAACUAAAUAAAUAAAAGAUAACAUUCCUUCUUAAAAAAAAAAAACAAACAAAAUAAACAAACUACACAUGACACACCCUUCCAGCAAUCCUACUUUGAGGAACGGAUCCUACAGAAAUACUCUCACAUGUCUUAAAUUAAGCAGGUAAAAUGUUAUUUAUUGCAGCAUCCAAAAAAUGGGAUAUCAAACUGCCACUCAAGAGAAAGAGGCAGCUUAUUUGUACCACAGGGAAAUACCUCCAAAAGAGAGUGAAGUCCAGAGCAGUGUGGGCAGAAUGUCGACAGGAGUGUAAAAAUAUGCUGUAUUGUUUACAUGUAUGCUUGCAGGUGUAGAUGCACAGCCCAUCUCUGAAAGAAUGAAUAUGCAAUAUGGUAACAGUGGCUUUUCUUGGGAGAGACGUGAGUAACUCCAUGAAGAGGGAGGGAGGGAGACUCGUCUUUUACUCUGUAUGGUGUGACUUUGUUACAGUGUACAACUACUACCCAGUCAGCACGUACAGACAACUCCUGCGAGUACCUGAGAGGGGCCACUAGAAUAUCAGAGCAAGAAAGGAAAUAUCAGAUGGUUGCGGAUGGAGAAAGGACAGAGAACAGCACAGCAUGCGGGAUCUUAGUUCCCCAACCAAGGAUCAAACUCGUGUCCCCUGCAGUGGAAGCAUGGAGUCUUAACCACUGGACUGCCAGGGGAGUCCCAAGAAACUGAAAGCUCAACGCCAAAGAUCUAUUCUACAAGACUGCUGCUCAAGAAUCUUACUGCAUUCUAGCCAGGACAGUGGUGGAACCAUGGGCCAAGCACCAGGGCAUGGGAACAGCCCCACUGUACGGAAUGGGAUGCCUGAAUAUCCCUCGGGAAAACAGAAAGAUCCUUCUUAUACCAAUACAGGGGGCUGUAUACCCUCUCUUGAAACACAAACUAGCUACCGAUGGAGUUUUCUGGAAGAACUUUCUAUGUUCUCAUCUGCCCUCAGAUGGUUGUGAAACCAUAAUAUAACAUCCAUGGUUAAACGUACAAAGUUAGUUCCUAGUUAGAGUUGGGAGAGUUAUGUAGGCAGGAUCCUAACACCUGCUACAUAAAACUAUAAAGGACUCAUUUUCAAGUCACAAUCAGCAAAUAAGAACAAAGCAAAAGAGAAAAAAAUAACUUAGUUAUAUAAAGUUUCUAAUUCUGAGGAAUAGUAAAAUCUCAUUAACGUUGGACCAAUUAUCUGAAUUUCUAGACACUCAGAUAUGUGUUUCCUACUUGGUGUGAAGAAAAGAAGUGUAUGAACUUCGUUAUUUAUGAUAAAAUAUUAUGUAAUACGGACAUGAUGGAAAUAUAAUUUUUAUCAACUCAUUUCACUUUACUUAUUAGAACUCUUCUAUGCUUAGUUUAUAAUAAUCCAUAAAAUCACUUUUAAGAAUGGGUGAACACUAUGGAAGUCAUCUACUUAUUACA